GUCUAUUAGCGUUAAUACUAAAUCGUCUGUUUUGUGUAAUUUUUGAAAAUGAUAAAUCUGUUUGUCAUCGUGUAAUAUUUCUGUAGUCAACUACAUUGUCCUGUAGUUUUAAAAAGGCGAAACGAACAAAAUGAAUGCGAGUGAUAUGGAAACCUCACUAGUGUUUAUAUUUUUAUUCACGAGACGCUUGGCGGUUACCGUAAAACUCUGCAUAGAGUCGCGCACACUUGUAUAAACGCUAGAUGAAGCUAAAGCUAAAGCGGGCCAUUUAAAAGGAAAGGAGCUCGCAUCCUGGCAGCCGUGAAAAUACGAGCAAUAAGAAACAUUUUGAGUCUGUUUUAUCAUGACAAGCGUUAGGUCAUGCUAUUGUUUUUUGUAAUCAACGCACUCAAGACUCUCUCAAAUAGAGUGUGAAACUGAAACAUCUGACCGUCGUUAUCACUAAAUCACCUACUAUCCCUGCUCCGCUGAUGAGCCCUGCUUGAAAAAUCCUCUUGCCAUCUAAACCAGCACUUCCAGACAGGAAAGUUCUCCUGACAGACCAUAUUUUAUCAUCUGGUCCUGAUGGAAGUGGUUUCUUCCAGGAUGAUUCCGCCCCCUUCCACAGGACACAAGGAAUCGCCGAACGAUUUGAGGAGGAGGACAAAAAAUGAGCUACGCUUUAGCUUUCACAGUCACAAGACCUCAAUCCAAUCAAACACCUCUGGGUGAUGUGUACUGCUGUUAUAGAAAAUUUAUCAACACUUUCUGACUUUCUGACUGAUCAGAAACUUUUUUCUAUGAAUAACCAGUCUCUCAAAGGUGAUUUGAGGCCAGAGUGGAGGUGGCAAAUGGGGUAGUAGUUGGCAUCCAUGGGGCUAUGUCAGCAAUGUAAUUAUGUAGAAUUUUUAUUCACGUAUUUAUCUAUUUUGUAUUCACAUAAGACUAGAAGCCUUGACUAAUGGUGCAUGCCCAAAUUGCAUACUUUUGCUCUAUACUGUGCCAUUGUGUAAUAUGAAUUGUGUGAGUCAUGUAUUCACUCUAAAAAUUCCAACAAGAUGAUGCACUUAUUCAACAAGGAAAAAAAAUGAAGUGUGGAAUGUUCAUGAACAUUGAGUGGAGUACUUCAUGAACUCAACACUCCCAGCUUUGCGUCAUGAAGGGCAGGGCUACCCAGGUUCUGGUGAUGGAUGGGAAUAAAA